AGAGUUUGAUCAUGGCUCAGAUUGAACGCUGGCGGCAUGCCUUACACAUGCAAGUCGAACGGCAGCACGGGGCAACCUGGUGGCGAGUGGCGAACGGGUGAGUAAAGCAUCGGAACGUACCCUAGAGUGGGGGAUAACUAUCCGAAAGGAUAGCUAAUACCGCAUAUUCUAUGAGUAGGAAAGCGGGGGAUCUUCGGACCUCGCGCUCUAGGAGCGGCCGAUGUCAGAUUAGGUAGUUGGUGGGGUAAAGGCCUACCAAGCCGACGAUCUGUAGCGGGUCUGAGAGGAUGAUCCGCCACACUGGGACUGAGACACGGCCCAGACUCCUACGGGAGGCAGCAGUGGGGAAUUUUGGACAAUGGGCGCAAGCCUGAUCCAGCCAUGCCGCGUGAGUGAAGAAGGCCUUCGGGUUGUAAAGCUCUUUCAGCUGGAAAAAAAUCGCUUCACCUAAUACGUGGAGUGGAUGAUGGUACCAGCAGAAGAAGCACCGGCUAACUACGUGCCAGCAGCCGCGGUAAUACGUAGGGUGCGAGCGUUAAUCGGAAUUACUGGGCGUAAAGCGUGCGCAGGCGGUUUUGUAAGACAGACGUGAAAUCCCCGGGCUUAACCUGGGAACUGCGUUUGUGACUGCAAGGCUAGAGUAUGGCAGAGGGGGGUAGAA
rnacentral:rRNA from 1 species